rnacentral:piRNA from 1 species
UGCUCAGAUGGUCACCAUUAU